GAUAAGAACGUAGCGAAAUGCGAUACGUAAUGUGAAUUGCAGAAUUCAGUGAAUCAUCGAAUCUUUGAACGCACAUUGCGCCUGCCAGCACUCUGGCAGGCAUGCCUGUUCGAGCGUCAUUUCAACCAUCAAGCCCUAGGCUUGCGUUGGAGCCCUGCGGCUGCCGCAGGCCCCUAAAAGCAGUGGCGGGCUCGCUAUCACACCGAGUGCAGUAGAUUACUCUUCGCUCAGGGCGUGUGGCGGGUUCCAGCCGUGAAACCCCCUACUUCUCAAGGUUGACCUCGGAUCAGGUAGGAAUACCCGCUGAACUUAAGCAUAUCAAUAAGCGGAGGA
rnacentral:misc_RNA from 1 species